rnacentral:rRNA from 1 species
AAUUGGAGGGCAAGUCUGGUGCCAGCAGCCGCGGUAAUUCCAGCUCCAAUAGCGUAUAUUAAAGUUGUUGCAGUUAAAAAGCUCGUAGUUGAAUUUCGGGAUCAGUACGCCGGUCGUGCCUCCGGUAUGUACUGGUGUCACUGAUUCCUCCCUUCUGAAGAACCAUCAUGCCAUUCACUUGGUGUGGUGGGGAAUCAGGACUGUUACUUUGAAAAAAUUAGAGUGUUUAAAGCAGGCUCACGCUUGAAUACAUUAGCAUGGAAUAAUGAAAUAGGACGUUGAUCCUAUUUUGUUGGUUUCUAGGAUUGACGUAAUGAUUAAUAGGGAUAGUUGGGGGCAUUAGUAUUCAAUUGUCAGAGGUGAAAUUCUUGGAUUUAUUGAAGACUAACUACUGCGAAAGCAUUUGCCAAGGAUGUUUUCAUUAAUCAAGAACGAAAGUUAGGGGAUCGAAGACGAUCAGAUACCGUCGUAGUCUUAACCAUAAACUAUGCCGACUAGGGAUCGGAUGAUGUUAUUUUUAAUGACUCAUUCGGCGCCUUACGGGAAACCAAAGUGU